UGUGUUCUGUGGUUUACAAGCAGGGAAGUUGCUGUAGCACUCGCUAUGUGAGUUUUAGAACAACUAAAUAUUUGAUGAGUACUGUAGCGUGAGUUGUUCCAAUCCCCUUUGGGUAACCUGGGAGAGACAGAAGAAAAGGAUUUGUUGAGUUUAGUAGAAAGUGAUCUGCUGUAUGCUUGAAUCUUAUUGUUGCUUGUCUUGUAACAUGUGGGUUAGUUCUUGGUAUCUUUGAAGUUAAAGUUGUGUGAAUCUUUAUCAAUAUGCUGUUAAUUAAAAGUAAUUAAGGCAGGGGGUGUGGAUAAGAAAAGUUGUGAUUUUGUAUGUGAGCCUGUGAAUGACUUUUUCCAGAAGAAAAGGCAGAGAAGAUGCCAUGAGCGUGGUCUCCUAUCGAGAGGUGAUCAGAGAGGUUGUUGAUGAUCAAUAGCAGGCUUCAGAAGGGCACAGAAAUGGUCCUCAGAUCUCUUCCCCUGUUCUGUGUGGUUGGAGGUGUUUAAGUUGGAGACAUCAUGGGAAGAUGGAUUGUGAUCGUGUUUCUCUGCCUGAGUUUUCUUAUGUCACUACAGAGGAACCACAGCCAGGUGUGACCCCACCCAAAGGAGAAAUAAGUUUGGGGCUUGGAGGAAUCACAGCUCCUGUCCUUGUAAGCAGAGAGUCAGGUAGGUAUCAGCAGAGAAUGUGUGGCUGAGCAAAGGAACCAGAUUGAGUCUCUCUGUGUCUGCUGAGCACGAAAUUUGUGUGCUCUGAGAAAGAAGAAAUAAAAGAUGAUGUCCAGUUAGUCAAGCAGAUAGAAAGAAUUUCUUGCCAGAAGAUAGAACUAGGCUUAAGACUUUUGGUAAGAGUCUACAGCUAAAUGAGUGUUCUGGCACCUUUUGGGGUUAGAAUGGGGAGCCUUAUAGAAAGCCAUCACAGAAACAGAACUGAUAGUAACAGGGCAGUGAAUUGAGCACUUGGAAUCUAUCUACACUAUUGCUAAGUGUAUGGCAAUUAAAAAAAGCAUCCAAAGCCUUAGACCACAGCCAAAGUUGAGUUAUAAGAGGUAUUGUAGAAACUUGGCAGGCGGAUUCUGUGACUGCUAUAUCAGAAUAAAUUGCCAUGGAAGGGAGACAGGGAAACAAAGGAGUGAGAUUGCAGUAUGUGCCAAGAAUUUUAGACUUUCUCCAGAGUAGAAGAGAUGAGUAUCUAGUUUACUGGAUGCUUCUGGGAAAUAAAAGUAAAGAUCCAUUCUGAGGUCACAAAACCGAAUGGAGGAGUUAGAGCAGAAUCUGGUUUUAAGUAACUAUUAGAAGGACUUUAAAGGCAGGUCAUGGAGGAGUUUUUAAUAAAAAGUAUUACAGGAGAAAGCUAAUCAAAAUUUUGGAGUGUGCUGAGAAAAUUUAACUUAGAAAUGUGGAGAAGGCAGUAAAAGAAGAUGCUAUUUCUGGCUCUUAUUUGAAGAAGCUGACAAAGGAUCUGAACUUCACAGUCUGUGUAGAAAAGGGUUAGUGUGUCCAGGGAUUGUUGCUGAAGAACGUGGAAGACUGACUAAUUUGGGAAAGGUGUCACACCUGCUGGAUCAGAUUUAGAUGUCACAGAAACAGAAGAUGGGGACCUCCAGUGCCUCUGUGGAGAUUUUGUGGUCUUCACAGGGACCUGAGGACAUCAUGUGCUGCAUGAUCUACCUGCUGCUUGCUCAAAGACAAAAGGACAGAGCUAAACAACCUAAUAUUGAUGAUGUACAUAGGUCCAAUCCUCCCUACCAAAGACGAAGUACAUCUGGAUCUUUGGAAGAGGGCAAUUUUAAUGGGCUCCUUCCAGUUGCUACUGUGUUUGGUAGAUGAUCGUCCUGAGAGGCAGCAGGGGUUGGCAGGGCUUGGACAAAGGUUCUAUCUCUGCAGACAUCCUGUGGAGCAGAUUUAGUUGGAAGAACAUGAACCCACGACCCUCUGGACCUCGUGAUUGUCUCUGAGGUCCUAGUUCUCAUAGAUAUGGGAACAACUUUCCCCUACUUUAUUAAAGAAUGAUGUGUCCUUG